AGCAAUUAUUUCCUUUAUGUAGUAGGUGUGGUCCGCUGCAGAACUGCAAAUCGGCAGAAAAGGUUUUUUCCAACAGUAAGACUGAAGGAGGCCAUACUCUACCCUAUUCUGUGCCCUUACAAACAGAUCACCAGUUCCAACUUCUGGAGUCAGUUGGAUAUGGAAAAUAAUCUGGGUGCUCAUUUAGAAAGAAAAGAGUGUGCAGAGGCAUGCUUUGGAAAUUUUGGAAAGUUGAAGUCAGACUUACAACUUCUGAAGCCCUGAUUCAUGGUUCCUGAACGUGUGGGAUUACUGAUGUGGUAAAAGAUUUGAACCUUGAAGCAUGAAAGGCAGGUCACAUCCUGGGGGACUCUGUGAUGAGGCAUGUCUUGCUUGUUCAGCCUGCUGGAAGCCCAGAAGCUCUACAUUCCCAAUGUGUGUGUAUGCGUGUGUGUGUGUGUGGAACAGGGGCAAGUCCCCAUUUUGUUAGUCCUUUUUUGGGCACCUUGAUGUCUACUACAUCUACUAGAGCAUCCGUUUCUACUUCAUUCUUCCUCACCACCCAUCUUCUGUGUAGACCUUGUAGCAAUAUGCUGUUACUUUCUCCCUGACCUGGGACCCAGCUGCAAAUGCUAACAAGCUCUUCUACUCUCUUGUUAAUCUCCAGACUGUUCCCAAGCAGUAUUCAUCAGAGAAGGACUUUAUUUCCAGGGGCGGUGAAGUGACUAACCCAAGAUCAAACAGCAGGGCAGUAGCAGAGGCAGGAACUGAAAUCAAGCCUUCUGACUCAAGUUUCUCUUGGCCACAGCCUCUGGGUUACAUGGCAGAACUCAUCAGUGCUGUAAGUUUCAGCAGUUGCUGAAACAAAACCUAAUUUUCUUUCCCAGUGAUAUCGUAUCUGUGUCAUCCUGUUCUCUGCCUACUCGGAAGCAGCUCCUCAGCAUUUGACUUUAAAAAGGGAAGGCAAGCAGGAGACGUGUCUAAGUGGUUGCACUCUUUUGAUCGAUGAGAGAGGUGAGCCAGAAUGUGUUCCAGUGACCUCCUGCUAUAUAAAAGCUUGGCCUGCCUGACAGGACUUCUGGCUGCUGAGUAGCUGUGAGUCACAGCCUUUACUGCUUGGAUUUGAUGCGGAUUUUUACAUCAGACGCUGCGGAAACGAGGUGGCCUCUCAAAUAUUUGCAUUGCUUGGCAAGCUAGGGGGCUCUUCUCACCUAACGAGACAGCACAGGAUGUUUUCCAAAGAGCUUUGCAGACUGCCAAAACUUCCCUGCAAGUGAGUACAGAAAUCCACUGGAAAGCAGCAUAUUAAAGGUAGGUCAGCCCUCCUGAUCUGUGGAGCUGCAGAACACAGUUUUCAUGUGCCCUUGAGCCACAAGAAGCUUCAACAAGGCUGUGGGUGGUGGAGGCAGCAGAGACCUCCAUGAGAAGUUCAAAGGCUGCAGAUGAGGGCAGCUCUCUAGAAAUCCUGCUGCUCUCUGGCUUGGCUGGAAUUGAAGCUGGAAGAUGGGGCGAGCACUUGGAUGCCAUAAAGCUGGCUUGGUCACACCCACAGCGAUGAUCUUGGACCACAUUAGCCAAAACCUACUAGUGAAGCCCUCCUGUAGUUUAAGCACCAGCUUCCUGAAUCUGCUUGAGAGCCAUCCUUGCAAAAUUACGAGUAGAUUGGGCAGAGGAAAUCAAAAUAUCUGUGACCUAGAGACAAGCUCAGAUCUAUUGUGUACUGGCAUGAAUCUGAAAUGGAGAGCAAGGAUCUGCAGUAAAAUGAUCAGUGGGCAUUAUUAAAAAGAAGGAAAAGAGUGAAGUGUCUUUCCAGCUGUCAGCACACUUGCUGUUCAGUUAGAUUGUCACUUCUUCAGCCUGCUAAUUUUCCUUUUCAGUUACAGAAACUUGCUUGAAUGCAGAAUGUAAAAUGAGAAAGCUGUGGGAACUGCUUGGAGAGUACAGAUGAGGCCCUGUAGGAACACGUGCAUCAGCCACAAAGAGCGAAGAUGCACGUGCAUUUAAGGAUCCGAAUUCUUAGCCCUUAAUGCUGCAUGUCUUUGAUAGCAUUAUGAUGUAUUUUGCACACCAGAAAGACCAUCCUGUGUAGAAAAAUCUCUUCUCUCCAGCCUUGCAAAGCAGUUGGGCACUGGUCCUGCCAGAAAGUCUGUAGAGACUUGAGCAGACCUUUGGCCUCUCUGAAUGUUUGCCAGCCAACAGCAACUGGCAUGAUCAGGGCCUCGAGCUACACCUUGGGAAGUGCUGCUAUUUAUCUCUGCACUUGAUUGCACCCAAUUACUUGCUAAGAACACGUUCUUUGAAAAAAGAUCUGGAGCUGGAUCCUUCUCUCAUUGCGACUCUGCCAGCUGCCGUCCCCAAAGCUAUUUUUAAUCAGACAAGCUUCCCCGUCCCUGCCAAAAAAACUCGUAACAAUUAAUGACAAUAAAAUGAAGGUAGCCUGGAUAAAUGAGUUGCACUUGCUCUAUAAAUCAGCAGCAAAGGCAGCUAGGGAAGAUCAGCGCUGCAUCGCUAAUACGCUUUCCUCCCUUUUGCUGUAGCCUGGGUCUCCCGCUUCACUCUUGGUCCCUCCACUUUGCGGUUCCGCCAGUCCCCGUGCUGCCUGUGGCAGGUAGAUCAGCAGAUGGGCACGGGCACCUCGGCACAGCGUGUUGCUUUGAUCCAUCUCAUUGCAGAUGUGAGAUGGGUGUGAAUGAUCCCGCUUACGUGCCCGUCACGUUGCGCUACUAAGUUCAUUAAUUCUGGGAGCUGCAAUACUACAAAGAGCUGCACCUACAGCAGGCUUGGUGGUUAGGUUAGGUCUCUGCACUGUCAUGUUGCAGCCUCUUGUGUGAUUAUUUGCCUGCAGGCAUGUGUGUCCCUGUGCUGUGAUCCUGUCAGGAGUUAAGCUGUGUUGGGCUGGAUCAGAGCGUGGACAGAAGGCCUCCAAGGACACAUGGCCGAAGCCAUUUCAGGCAGCGAUCCCAUUAAACAGGAAGUGGUACUAUGCCCUCAGCCUGGGCACAAACUGCUAUUGCUUUGCUCACGGGUGGUAAGAAAGCAUUCCCUGAUAAUUUUAUUGAAAAAAAAAGGAAAAGAGAAAA